rnacentral:rRNA from 1 species
CACGUGAGCAACCUGCCCCCGACUCUGGGAUAAGCCCGGGAAACUGGGUCUAAUACCGGAUGUAACCACUGAUCGCAUGAUUGGGUGGUGGAAAGUUUUUCGGUUGGGGAUGGGCUCGCGGCCUAUCAGCUUGUUGGUGGGGUGAUGGCCUACCAAGGCGACGACGGGUAACCGGCCUGAGAGGGCGACCGGUCACACUGGGACUGAGACACGGCCCAGACUCCUACGGGAGGCAGCAGUGGGGAAUAUUGCGCAAUGGGCGGAAGCCUGACGCAGCGACGCCGCGUGAGGGAUGACGGCCUUCGGGUUGUAAACCUCUUUCAGCAGGGACGAAGCUAACGUGACGGUACCUGCAGAAGAAGCGCCGGCUAACUACGUGCCAGCAGCCGCGGUAAUACGUAGGGCGCAAGCGUUGUCCGGAAUUAUUGGGCGUAAAGAGCUCGUAGGCGGUUUGUCGCGUCUGUCG